UUAAAGUAUUAUUCGGCAAGAUUCUUAAAAGUGACGUUUCCAACAUUUAGAAUUUAGAGAUUGCUUUAUUCUUCAAAAUGGAGACAUCUCUCGGACAAAAUUUUAGCCCCAAAGAUCUAUCUGUUUUAAAGAAGUUGUUGUUUUUUUCCUUGUUGAUGUUUGCUUUUCCAUUAGGAACGUUUUUACUUUGCAAAAAACUCUCCCAAAAGAAAAUGUGGUUGUACCAGUAGUUGGAAGUGUUGUGGCGGUUCAUAUUGUUAUAGGUGCAUACGUAUGGGUGGCCAUGAAUGAAGAUUCAAACCCAGUUGCUUUAAAAGAGGAUUAGUAAACACGCAAAAUUAUACUGAAUUCUGGUUUACAAUAGAAACACACUGCAACAGUUUGAUGUGAAAGAAAUAAUAAAUAAAUCAUUUCCAGUGAUGAUUAAAAUUUCUUCAUUAUUUUCAGCCAUUACCUCAGUGAAAAACUCACAACUUUUGCUUGUUAUUAAUUUGUGAUAAAAGGAAAAAUAUGGUUGUGCCAUUAAAAGUUAACUUUACCUGACUUGAGACAGUAGCAUUUCAUUUGAAAAAUUAAUAUUUCCAUUUAACUAAGAAAUACAUAGUAUUGACUUCUGUACAUUAGCUUAGUUUAUUGAUAUUAUGUGUGAUUAACAGUAAAUGUUUUGUGGAAUUAGUAGCUAAUGUUCAUAAUUAUUAAUAAAGCUCUUUUGUUUCCAAGAA